UGGCUCUUCGAAAUGCUUGAGAGACUGAUUUCUGCCUAGCAGGCUAGGAAAGAGAUGAGGGAGUUACCUAAUCCCCCUCCACCCCUACCAUAAUAUGAACCAUCUCCACAUCGAGAAGAUCCAGUACCCCCACGGUACAGCUAAGUUCCUCCAUAGUACCAUCCGACACCUUUAUGGUAUAAUUUAGUGCCUCCACCAUACAAUCCGGUGCUGCC
rnacentral:lncRNA from 1 species